CUAAGUUUGAUGGCGACCGGCGCACGGGUGAGUAACACGUAUCCAACCUGCCGAUGACUCGGGGAUAGCCUUUCGAAAGAAAGAUUAAUACCCGAUGGCAUAGUUCUUCCGCAUGGUGGAACUAUUAAAGAAUUUCGGUCAUCGAUGGGGAUGCGUUCCAUUAGGUUGUUGGCGGGGUAACGGCCCACCAAGCCUUCGAUGGAUAGGGGUUCUGAGAGGAAGGUCCCCCACAUUGGAACUGAGACACGGUCCAAACUCCUACGGGAGACAGCAUG
rnacentral:rRNA from 1 species